rnacentral:rRNA from 1 species
UUGACCUCWAAUCAGGUAGGACUACCCGCUGAACUUAAGCAUAUCAAUAA